rnacentral:rRNA from 1 species
GGGGCCCGCACAAGCGGUGGAGCAUGUGGUUUAAUUCGAUGCAACGCGAAGAACCUUACCUACUCUUGACAUCCAGAGAACUUUCCAGAGAUGGAUUGGUGCCUUCGGGAACUCUGAGACAGGUGCUGCAUGGCUGUCGUCAGCUCGUGUUGUGAAAUGUUGGGUUAAGUCCCGCAACGAGCGCAACCCUUAUCCUUUGUUGCCAGCGGUUCGGCCGGGAACUCAAAGGAGACUGCCAGUGAUAAACUGGAGGAAGGUGGGGAUGACGUCAAGUCAUCAUGGCCCUUACGAGUAGGGCUACACACGUGCUACAAUGGCAUAUACAAAGAGAAGCGACCUCGCGAGAGCAAGCGGACCUCAUAAAGUAUGUCGUAGUCCGGAUUGGAGUCUGCAACUCGACUCCAUGAAGUCGGAAUCGCUAGUAAUCGUAGAUCAGAAUGCUACGGUGAAUACGUUCCCGGGCCUUGUACACACCGCCCGUCACACCAUGGGAGUGGGUUGCAAAAGAAGUAGGUAGCUUAACCUUCGGGAGGGCGCUUACCACUUUGUGAUUCAUGACUGGGGUGAAGUCGUAACAAGGUAACCAAGGGCGAAUUCCAG